UACGAAGGGGGCUAGCGUUGCUCGGAAUUACUGGGCGUAAAGGGAGCGUAGGCGGACAUUUAAGUCAGGGGUGAAAUCCCAGAGCUCAACUCUGGAACUGCCUUUGAUACUGGGUGUCUUGAGUGUGAGAGAGGUAUGUGGAACUCCGAGUGUAGAGGUGAAAUUCGUAGAUAUUCGGAAGAAACACCAGUGGCGAAGGCGACAUACUGGCUCAUUACUGACGCUGGAGGCUCGAAAGCCGUGGGGAGCAAACAGG
rnacentral:rRNA from 1 species